GGCCCGCUCCUUGCUAGAUAGAUCCCACAGGUAGCCAACGGCGGUUGCCCCCACUUACGACAAAGACGUCGC
rfam:Pseudomonas sp. Bc-h sc_007, whole genome shotgun sequence.